rnacentral:rRNA from 1 species
CGCCUAAUAGCUAGCCCAAACUACUCAACCAAAAAUUAAUUAUAAAUACCCCCUAAUUAACUUAAAAAAUUUAAACAAACCAUUUUUCCACCCUAGUAUGGGCGACAGAAAAGGAACAAGGAGCAACAGAAAAAGUACCGCAAGGGAAAGCUGAAAGAGAAAUGAAACAACUUGUUUAAGCCAUAAAAAGCAGAGAUUAAAACUCGUACCUUUUGCAUCAUGAUUUAGCCAGUAAAACUCAAGCACAGUGCCCUUUAGUUUGAUACCCCGAAACUGAGCGAGCUACUUCAAGACAGCCUAUUUAAUAGGGCAAACCCGUCUCUGUGGCAAAAGAGUGGGAAGAGCUUCAAGUAGAGGUGAUAAACCUACCGAGCCCAGUUAUAGCUGGUUGCCUGAGAAAUGAAUAGAAGUUCAGCCUUUUAGCUUCUUAACCCAAACCAGAUUUACCCAGACCUGGGCUCAAGAAACUAAAAGAGUUAGCCAACGGAGGUACAGCUCCUUUGGAAAAGACACAACUUUAUUAGGAGGUGAAAGAUCAAAAUUAUUUUAUAGGUAUAUUGUUUUAGUGGGCCUAA